CCUCGUUUUCUGCGCUUCUUUUUCUUUCUGGCUUUCGACCCCAUUAUCGGUUGGGCGUUGGUGACGUCAUAUGCAGACGUGGACUAGCACGUAGUGCUGCCUGAGUCUGUGCCGCUGGUUGCAAGCCGCAGACAAAACGAGGCGCUGCACAGUCCUUCUCUCCAUCAACAUCGUCAUCCGCCUCGUGCACGCCGCAAAUCGUGCGCUUGCUCAUGGGCGGUCGACCAACAGCGACGCCAUUUCGCGUGUUCGGCUCUCCCUACACGUUGUCGCUGCAUCAGCAUGUCACCUACCUCCGGCUGAAGCAGCUCCCUUUUCGGGUGUACUGCAGAAGUUUCACCACCACCUUGCUGUAUUCAUUGUAUUUCCGUGCCCGCAGCGUUUUCUGCACGUUGACGCCUAGCGGCGCUUCUCCGCUGCAGGUUUGGCAGCUGGCAGAAGCGGCGGAGCUGGACGAGGACGUCGAGGCUAUCGCUCGCACCGCGAAGGGCGAAGUCAGCUACACUGGUAAGGACAACUACGGUAGAUGCGGCGCUCUGCACGCGAGUGGUGCUGCGACGGCAGCUCCGCGCACGCAGAGGAUCCUGGUCCGAAAAGAAACGCAUCCGCAGCUGCACUUGGCUUCUUGGUGCGUGGUGGUGUACACGUGCUGGUGGCUCGCGAAGACGGGUGCCAUGUUUCGCUACAUCCGUGGCGACGCAUUGGAUGUGCUGGAGGGAUACGUGCGCUACUUCUUCCCGAUCCCAGGAAUCGGAUUCGCCCGCGCUAUGGCACCACGGUUUCGCGAAGCGAUGAAGCAGUUGGUCUCGGCGACGGGUGCGUCGGAGGUGACGGCACCGUUUAUGGAGGACCACUUCCAGCGCUUCUGCGCGGCGCUCGAGGCACACCUGCGCGAGCAUCCGAACGAACACUUUCUGCUUGGCACCCCGCACCCGACCCUGGCCGACGUUACGCUCGGUGCCGCCUUCUCCAGUCUCUUCCUCAUGGACGACCCGCCGUCUUCGAUGCUGGCGGACAAGUUCCCAUGCGUGACGGAGUACGUGGAACGGGUGACGGGAUGGCGUGGCGCCACCUUUGUCGGUACCACUGAUGAUGCUGCUCUCACAACCGAGGACGCAUCCGUGGGCAGCGCGGCGCCCAACGCUGACACAAUUUCCAACAGUGUCGCUACAUCAACUGCUGACAGGAACACGGACUACCCUGACACGGUUCCCGAGUCUCUGGGGCCGUGCUUCGAGCUCAUCGCAGAGGUACUUCCGUUCCUCAUGUCCCAGUGUGCCUCCUUCAACGCCUUUAUGGCUGGCGACGGCGUCCGCACACUGCGUCGUGAGCCGCUCGAGGGGGAGUGGAAGGGCUGUACAGGGUAUCUGAUGCCCCAACUCGCGAACGUCCGGUCUCUGAUGAUUGUGGACGACAAUAUCAGCAGCGUGCAGGCCCGCUCGCAGGACUUGGAGAUCGCGUUUCUCGCCGCACGCGAGGUACUCGAUGACUCGCUGCUCGACUUUGGAAGAAGGGAGGACGGCUCGCACGGCGCCUCGCCGCACGAUGUCAACGCCCGCGGAGUCAACGAGCCCGCAGCUCACACCAGUGCGGCUGCAGCGUCAGUAGUCGCGCAGAACACGGCGGCAUCCGCUUAUAGAGACGCUGACGACUCCCAGCAUCUUGUGCAGCCGGUGCGGGAAGGCGCUGCCGUCAACGGGGCUGCCACACGGACAGAGGAGUCUGAACCGAAGAGGCGGGCAGCGGAGGAGGGGAGCGCUGCGCAGUUUCGGCAGCAGCUGGAUCCGCGCACGAUGCGAGCUGAGGAGGCAGACUUCUAUCGCGCUUACACGGCGGCAACUCGCCACAACGUGGUUGGCACCGCCGCUUCCCUCUGCGAUGUGGUGCCUCCUGCACGACAGGCGUCGAGCGCCUGCAGCACUGCGGUGGUCGUGCGUGGGUCUGUCAAGGAACACUUGCAGACGCUGUACGCAAUGUUGGCGAAAAUGAGCUGCCCACAGUACACCCUCACCUCGCUCCAUCACGGCCGCCGAAUCUACGUUGCUGUCAUUCCCGAGUGCGAGGUGUCGAAGGUGCGUAAGGCGCGUCAGGAGGUGGCGAAAAAAAGCACUGCUGCUUCGUUAGACAUGGAAUGCGUCACUCAAUCCGGUUAGGACUGCCAACAGUACAGCGUCGUAGGGGAGAAGGGCAUACGUCGCCGACGCGUGUGGAAGGGAGAGGGGGGAGGCAGCGUCUUGAUGCGUGUACGUGCUUGUAUGUCGGCCAGUGAGUGCUGUGUGGUUGUGUCUGUAGCUAUCAUGUGUCCUUCUCUGAGACCCAGGAUUGCUGGUCUUGCCCCUCUAUCUCCCAUUUGGCAAUUCACGCCUUCACUUGCAUGGGUGGGCGUUCGCGACGGCGGAGCGAAGCCAUAGACAGACACACACACACAAACACACACAUACACAUACGCAUGCACAGACACCGUUUGCCUCUUGCGUGGCUCGCCCAUUCUCCACUUUGUGGGCCUGCGUCGGCAGCGUGGCGUCGACUUCACAUGUACUCACGAAUCAGGAAUAGCCCCCUGGAACGCAACGGCAACGAAAGAAAAGUCUAGCAGCGUCCAGGAUCUCUGUUUGCGCCAUGUUCGUUGCGUGACUAGAGCACGCAUGCGAUG
rnacentral:misc_RNA from 1 species